ACUCAUAAAUCACAGCUUAUAAUGAUUUGAGUGGGAUACAAAAACAAAAACCUUUAGGACAGAUUUGUUUGUUUUCAUUUUUACAACAAAAUCCAUUUUUAGAUGGACAAUCCCUCACACAAUCAGAAUCUUGGGUGCAACGAAUUGGUAACCCUCCAGUGUAGGCUUCAGCACUUGGUAACUCAAAGAUUGUGAUGCCUGCAAAUUGAGGUCAAUAAUUCAUGAUUAUAGAGAAAUGAAAUAAAAAGCGAAAUGUGUUAGUAAUUAGUAAAAAAAUAUACAAAGAAAGAGAGAUAUUUGGGACAUUGACUAACCAUAUGCAACGAUCAUGAGAACGACCAAGAAAGUUAGUUUAAACGAGACUUUCUCCAUUUGCUGUAAGAAAAAGAUUAUGCAGGAUGUUUCUUUGAGUGGGAAAAAAAAUCUAAAAAAAUUGUAUGCAAGAACUUUGUUCUUCACCUAAUAUUUAUAGAGAUGUAAUAUACAAAUGGUAAAAUGGCACACCCAACUUCUAAGUUAUUUUAUAGAAAAAUCACAACAAAUCAAAUAAACUUGCAACCGAUUAAUAUUCAAAUCAUUAAACCUAGCCCAAUAGGAAACAAUAAAAAAAAGGAAAAAAAAUAAUUUUUUUCAUUUUUUUCCAGCUUCGCAUUAACAACGCAGACACAUUUUCCGUUGUUGGUAAAAUCUCCAUCCAUCUUAGCUCAUAAAUUUAAUUACAUCAUUACAAUCUCUCAAUCAACAUCUACACAGUACAUGUAAGUUGAUGAUCCCACUAUUAAUUCCAUUUCACGUUGAUUAGGGUAAAAAAAAAAAAAAGGAAGUUUUCUUGUAUUCAUGUAAUUUCUAUAAUCUCUUAAAAAUUCCAUAUGAAGUAGGUCUAUUUUGCUAUUAACUAAAUAUCCCAGAUUUUGUAUUAUUGAAUCCAUUUAUUGCCUUAAGGCUAUAUAUAUGCAUAUUUUUUAACUUUACUUUGAACUCAUCUCGUGCCAUUGAGUUUUUGACUUUCUUCUGUUUAUUGCUACCAUUUUUAAAUUAAAAAAAUUGAUUCAAUCGAUGGACUUAUUAAUAAUUGAUCAACUUAAUUUCAUUUAAUUGAUCAACCUAGUUUUCUUUCAUUAACGUUUUAUAGCAUGAUUCAUUCGUGAUAUAUAUUUACAACAUUUUUUUUAUGUGUCCUUUGCUUCAAUUCACUCAUAAUAAAUCUUAAAAUCAUUAACGACCAUCGUGAUUUAACUAUAAUAGUCUGAAAACAAUAUGAAAAAAAAUAUAACUCUAUGGAUAAUUCAAUUUUAAGGGUAUUAUCAGACAAAUCAUUGCACUAACAAUUUUGAUUGUUUGCUUACAAAAGUAAAAUAUGCAUUUGUAUAACUGGUUUUGCAAUAAGAAAAAAUGUUAAAAGGUACCCCAAUAUUUUCUUUCAAGUUUCAAGUUAAUUAUAUGGUUGCUAAGUGAAUUAAGAAAGUAACCUCAUUGGCCUCUCUUAUAAUAUGGAUGUCUUUUGAAUUAUCUUAAUUUAGAAUUUAUUGACAUACACUAAUUGAUAAUUAACUUUUUUGUUCUCAUAAGUGAUCUUCUUCUUUAUGCUUCACCAAUGGUGACAACAUUUUAAAUCAAUAAGAUAUUCAUUAUAUUAGCAGAAAUUACGAGGGAUCUCAACGAGAAUAUUAGAAUAACCCAAAAUAAUAAAAAGGAUGAUUGUGGCUUGAACACUGGUUCUCGCCACAAGUUGGGCUGGUUUAUGCUCAAUCCACGGCCAUAACAUCCUAGGAAAAGUUGAAUAAAUAAUAUUUUGUGAGUUCUUGAUGGAGCGAGAGUAGCGGAAGCAAAAUUGAUUGGGUAAGACAAAGCGGAAGUGGAAUUGAUAGAAUAGAAAACACUAAAUAUCAUUCUAAUACUUGACCAAGCCAACGCGAUUAGGUUACGUUUUAAUCGAAGCAUGAUUAGAUAUCAUUUUAAUCUUAAUGACUCAAUAAGAUUUUUAAUAACGCUUAAAGCGAAAUUAUAUGACGUUUUAAUCCAAACAACUCUACAAGAGAUAUUUUGAUAGAUAAUUCCAAAGGAAAUUAUAAAAGAGGAAACUAAAUUAUAAAAGAAGAAACCCACUUCCCUAAAUUAACUUAAAAAAAGGGAAACUAAAUCGCAAUUAUAAUGGAAAUAAAAUAUACUUUUUCUAAGUUAACUAAAUCUCAUGCCUUAAUUGACUCUAAUAAAAAUAGAAAGUUUAAAAAUAAUAAAAUACCAUAAUUGACUCUAAUUAAAAUAGAAAUCCUAAAAUAAUAAAAUUUUGGAAUUUUAAAAUUUCUAAAAUAACGUCCUACAUUAGUUCUAGUUGAUACUGUUAAUUUUGCAGAAAAUAUUUUUUAACAUAUUAAAAUCUUCAUAAAUCUUUUAUAGACCUUUCCUCAUUUAGGCCUUCUCGAAAAGCUAGAACUUACAAUCAAACUUUUGCCCCAUUAUAUGACAUAUGUUAGUAAAAUUCAUUUUUACAAAUGAUAAUUCUAUUCACCCCUUUCUUUAUAUUUUCUAAAAGAUCUAAAAUUUUACUCCCAUACUUACGGAAAAAUUCAACCCUUCUAAUGAUAGGCGAUGGUGAUGAUGAGAGAGAAAGAAAAAUAAAAUAAAAUUAAUUAAUAAUAUAAAAAAUUUUAAUUAUAGUAAUUUUAAAAAUAAACAUUUAAUACCCAUAACUAAGACAUCGUUGAGUUGGGUUGGGACCCCAGGCAUGGUCAUAGCAGGUAUGAAACUUUUUCAAUUGUCCGGUUCCUUAGUUAGCUCCUCAAACUUCAGAAAGUAUACAUUUCCGAGGAGGUGUCUUCACCUAAAACCAAAUCAACUUAUUUGAGCUCAACAAAAGUUUGUAUCUCCCUCUAAGUAACAUAUAUUUAUAUGGUCUCAACAUACACCUAAUAUUGAAAUUCUUUUCAAAAGCAUCACUUCAUUCAAUGAAAAGCACAUUGGCCAUUGUAUUUGCCGUCUUUUACUAAGCGGGUACCAUCAAGAUCAACCACUACACCACUUUUUAUGCUACUUGAAAGAAGAUUAUAAAUAUUUUAGAGUUCCACAAACUCUAUAAUAUAGAAAUUUAAAUCAGUGCACUACACAUAAAUUUCGUACAGAAAGAAGAUUCAAACAUCUCUAUAAACACAAACUCUCGAGAUGUUUUAGAGUUAAACAAAACUACCAUUUCAUGCCUAGAAAAAAUGUAACAAUUUUUCCCGCUAGAGUGGUUAAUAAUCAAUACGGAUUUGCUUCAAGUCACCGGAGAGGCUUUUAGAGCAAAUGCAACAAUUUUGGGUUCUAAAAUUUUGCUCUUUAAAGCGUUAUUUUGGCUUAGUGUUUCAAUUAUCAAGAAGAGGUACAAAGAUCAAUGGCUCCUACUAUCCUCGUUUUAGCUUAAUAUAUAUCUCUCAUUUUAAUAAAUAUGGUUGUUUCUUAAAAAUUUAAUUAAGAUCAUUGGCUUUGAGUUACUACUAUAGGAUUCCGAAAAUGAUCAGCAGCCUAUUUCUUCUUCAUCUUCAAAAUCACCCAACAAACCAAAGUUUGUUCAAAUUUAAAUGUCCCUGCUAUAUUAGUACUAACGUUUGUCUCAAAAUUUUGCUCGAUUAAUCCUUGACUUCAAAAGGAACAACGAUCUUUUCCUAUUCAUAGUUCCUUUUUUUUUUAACUCAUAUUUUAAUGAGUGGGUAAAAUUGAGUUUUAAAUUUUAAUGUUGAUAAUCAAGCCAGCUUUUUUUUUUUAUUUACGAUUAAGCCAACUUUUUUUAAUUAGAUUUGAAAAAUUAGGAGAGUUUAGGAUAGAAAAAAAAAAAUUAAGAGAGAAUCCUAAUCUGUAAUACCCCACACCCGAUUAUUUUUGACCCUUCACCUAUAUAAAUUGAGCGCGAUUAAACGCUCGGAUAGUCGGAUUUUUUUUUCGUCACGGGUCCGGUAUUAGCUUAAUUUGUAUUAAGCUUAAGUGGAAAAAAAAAAAAGAAGAAAGAAGAGGAAGAAAAAGUCGGGUUUUAUAUAUGGAAAAAGGGGGGAAACUGUUUUUGAAGAGAAAUGAGAGAGAGAAGGCACGAGAGAGAGAGAGAGAAAGAGUUUGACCCGACAUUGACCCGGAUCCGACCCGGAAACCCGCGACCUUGACACGAUUGUAUCUCCCGAUUCCGGCCACCUCACCGGCCGAGCUUGGUAUCGAUCUGAAGCUUGGAAGCCGACCGUUAUAUCCCAGCUGUCCUCGUCGCCGGAAACCGACUAGAACGCCGGCGAUUUGAGCUCGAAAACUCGCGGCCAAAACCCGUUUUCCCCGCCAUCGAUUUCGCCGGAGUUUGGGCACACUUCCAGCUAGGUUCUACUCCUCACGUCACCAGCAUCAUUUUCCGACCAACCUCGUGACCCGAAACGGCCGGAUUGCCGGCGAUCAACCACUUGGGAAGCUCGCGGUUUUGGAAGCUCGAUUUGCCGCUGUUGCCGCGCGUGGGAGGUCACCGCCGGCACCAUUGGACUCAGCGUGGCUUGAAAUUUCAGUUCUGAGCUUCCCGUUGCCGUCGGAUGAAUUCCGGUGACCGUUGACCGGCAAGGGUAUUUUGGUAAUUUCACAGUCUAAGGGCAAUUUUGUAAUUUCAGAUUUUGUGGGUAUUUUGGUAAUUGCUGUAAUUGAGGAUAAAGUUGGUAAUUUAUGAUUUUGAGGUUAAUUUGGUAAUUUUGAUAUGAGGGUAUUUUGGUAAUAUUGAAUUCAAGGGCAAUUUGGUAAAUUCAUAAACUUGAGGGUGAAUCUGUAAUUUGUGGAAUCAAUGGAUAAUUUGGUAAUUUUAAGUUAGGGCAGUGAGGUAAUUUGAGAUUUCGAGGGUAAUUCGGUAACUUAAGUUGUUAAGGACAUUUUGGUAAAUUUACGCUCCGAGGGUAAUUUCGUAAUUUUUGACAUUGUGGUUAUUUAUGUGAUCUGAAUUAAGGACAAUUUGUUAAUUGAAGAUUCUGAGGAUAAUUUGGUAAAAUAAUGAUGUUGGGGGCAUUUUGGUAAUUUUGGUAUGUAGGGGUAUUUCGGUAAUUUUGUGCAUGCGGGAAUAGUUUAUUGUUGAUAGAUAUUCGUUUCGAGAUUUAUUAUAUAAAAUUGGUUGUAUUUCAAAGUUACGGAGAAUGAUUAUGGCGUUUCCUUGAUUAGGAGGAUUCGCAAACGAGAAUUUAACCCGCGGACGUUGUCGACACCGAGUCUGGACAUUGUCACUGUGAGUGGAAUAUACAAAACCUAUUUUCAAAGUACAUGAUGAUUUUAUGAUACAGUGCAGUAUGUUUUGAUAAAUAAGUGUUUAAUGCUUCGAUUUAAUGAUUUUCUAGAAAAUUGAUUUUUAUUUAUGUGUUGAUAUUUAUUGUUAUUGAGAAUGAGUUUGAUUAAUGAUUUUACUAUCGAUUUUGAGUAAAUGCAUGAGAUUAGAAUUGAGUAGAUUUGAGAUAUGUUGAAUAGAAAGAAAAUGAGAUUUCAGAUGUGAUUAUAUGUUAAUGUACAUGUGUAUAAAUGUUGUUUUUGAAAUCAUUAGACAGUACCCUUCCCUCUAGAUACAGAGAUACAGAUAUGAGAUACAGAUCAGUUAUUGAGAUACAGUGAUACAGAUAUGGGAUACAGAUCAGUUAUUGAGAUACAGAGAUACAGUGAUACAGAUAUGAGAAACAGACAGUUGAGAUACAGGCCUUUGGGGCCCGUCUGAGUACACACAGAGGCUUUGGGCCGUGUACUUGGGCGCUUUUGUCCUUUGGGGACUAGAUUAUGCAUGCAUAGAUAUGAUGAGAUAUGAGAUAGUAUUUCCCUAUCUAUCCAUGUAGCUCCGGGGCGUGACGUUACCUAGAUAGUGCGUCAUUGCCCGUCCGUUGAGGUCCAGAUAUGAUAAGCUUUUUUCCCAUCUAUCCGUUGUAGCUCCGGAGCAUGAUGGUUCCUUGAUUGCCCGUCCGUCGAGGUCCGGAUAUGAUAAGAUUAGUCCCCUGGGUACUUGUUUGAUGAUAGUUUUUGGUAUUCAGUAUUUGAUAUGAUAAGUAUUAUAAUUUCAUCGAUUUUAUGCAGAUUUAUGUAAUAUAGUAUUUCGGUGAUUGAUUUGACUUAAAUAAGUUUAUGUAAGUUCUUAUGAUAUUUUGAUGAAAUUGAUUUGAGAAAUUGAUUUGAGAAAGAUUGAAUCAUUUUAAAUAGAUUUAUUUAUUUGUCAAAAAUUACUAUCCACUCAUUGAGCUUACUGAGUUUUAUACUCAUCCCGUUUUUAUUAUAUUUUCCCCCGCCCACAGGAGAUUUGCAGGUACAUCAGUCGACCCAGUAACGAUAGUUAGAUUUGAAAUUGUGGCCACAUGAUGGUGACAGGAUGUCGUAGAUUUAAUUAUUUUGAUAUUUGGGAUAUUGCGAAUUGUAUUUAUUUAUUAUAUUUUGUAAUUAAGGAUAAUCAUUGUAUUUUAACAUUAGAAUGAUUUUGGGUGGUAUUUGGUAUGUUGGCUUGAGAAGUCGGUUGUGGAGGAUGGAUGAAUAUUGAAUUAUUUUGGAAGUAUUGUUUUGUAAAUUGCAGGUUGAGAAUUAUAAUAUGAACCGAUAUCUAAAGGUCCGGCUUCUAAAUCAAAUAAAAGCUUAUUCAUAAUUAACCCCCGGCGAUGCCCAAAAACUCUAUGAACAAAUUAUUAUACAAGCAAGUUACUGCAUAAUUAUAUUUCUUAUUCGUGGAUAGCACUUGUAAUAAUUCAACUUGAUUUUCUUUCAAUGACGAUUAUAGCAUGAUUCAGUCAUUCUAUUCACGAUAAAUUUUUAUUUUUUUCGUGUCCUUUUGCACCUUGGCAUCAAAGCACAAAGUACAAGGGGCAAUUGUUCGAUAUGAACUUCAUCACCGGCAUGGUUAACAGUAACAUGGCCCAAUAAGCAAGCCCAAGUGAAAAAGGACCAAAGGGCAGCCCAAUAUUGUUUCCGCUCUUGACAUCCAGGAAAUCAAGCAAGACUCAAUAAAAACACAUUUAUUAAAUAUUAUUUUUUAUUUUAAUUUCUCAAAAGAAUUGAUAACAAAUAGCUAGGUUGAGGAGUAUAUGUGAAUUACAAAAAAUCAUAAUAAUAAUUAUCUUCGUAAAUUUACUGAUAACAUUUUCUAAUUGAAUAAGGGUAUUUUCUAAUUGCUAUUCGGCUUGCACAAUUAUCUUCAACACUUUGUAGGCUUGGUUGCUUGGUCGUUUUGAUUUGUAGACUUGUAAUGGAUUCAGAGAUUUUUGUUCUUUGAAUAGUGGGGUGUUCCUUUCGGGGAAAAAGGGAAAAAAAGAAAAAAAGAAAAAUAGAGCGAUGUUGGCUAAGCAAGGUUGGUGAAUGGUAUUUGAACAUUCUUUGGGCUGAAAGCUCGAUACUUUAAACACAGUUCUUUUCUUACCGCAAAGCAUGGUCAUAACCCUUUUCUUAUAUCUGUUGAAGUCUUCUAUGAGGGCAUGGCGUUCUUGAACGAGGUAUUUGGUGACAUAUUAAGUGUGGGUCACGCAACUCACAAGUGGAUGUCUAUCACGGCAAUUGGAUUCCACUGCUCAAAUAUUUUCGCGCAGUCUCUAGUGCUUCGUUUUGAUACAAAAGUGUCUCCUUGUGCCAAUGGAUAGUAAUCGUAGGAAUAAUGCUUUGUUGCGGAGUAUUUUGUGCCGAUGGAUGUUGAAUCCAUUUUUUGAAUUCAUUUGCCUAGUACUCCAACGGCUAAUGAGGUGUUACGACAUUUUGCGAAAGAUGGCAUUUCUACUGUUAAAUAAGGGUGUCUUAUGUCUUUGGCUUGGGAGAAUAUGGAUGUUGCGAAAAAUUCUAGUAGUUCUUCAAGGGAUCGGAAUAAGAUCUGGCAUUUAAAUGUUCUUUGGAAGGCCAAAUUCUUUUUGUGGCAGGGUUACAUAGUUAUGUUUCAUUUAGUUAACGGCUAUUUGAAUUGAAGAAAGGGUUUGAUGAAUACAAACAUAGGACAGUGCAGAGAUCGAAACCAAACUUUAUGUUAGUGUAAGGUGCCCAAAAUCUUUUGCAUCGCUGCACUGCUUAAUUCAAAAUGUUCUUACAAAUGCCUUUGGCGGUCGGUCACAAUUUAAUAUAUUACCCAAUGGUGUUCUGUGUCAAACUCUAUUUUGAGAUUUUUGUGUUGAACUAUUCUUCUAUGGAUGUUUGGCAAAUGGUUUUGAAGGUUUUUGACACUUUUGGAGGACUGAUCUUGAAUUCUUAUGUCAAUUAUCAUGCUUUAUAUGGGUUGAGUGGUUCUACAGGAAUAGAUAUCAAUUGUCACACACGCACACAAUUACACGCACACGCUUAUAUUUGCAAUGUUGUAAAUAUUUUACAACACUGAUUUUAUGUCAAAACAAAGUUAAGUUUAUAGUUUAAUCACUACGGCUUCCAUCAAAACAAAAUCCUGAAUCUGCCGUUGACUAAGAAUGCUCGAGACUUUUUUAUUAAAUGAGGUCCUGGGGAUAAAAUCUUAGGUGAAACAAUCCCAUAGGACCCGCACCGUCAUCAUAUAGAUGUGGUGAGAUUUUCUGAUUUUCAAAUUUAAAUUUGACAAACAUGAGAGACAAUGAUGGUGGGACUGAAAAUUUAAAUUUAAUUGGACGGUGCCAUCCCUCUCUCAUGUUUGUCAAAAUUUAAUUAAUUAAAUAGUUUAACAUAAGUUUUUUUCAACAGCAAGACAAUGUUUGUUUUAAUGUAAAGUCAGUGUAUUACGUCAAAGCGAGAAAGGAUUUGCUAUUGGUUUAAUAAUAUGGUUUGACACUAAACUGAUUUAUUAUUGUGAUAAUUGUCUUAUUUUUCUUAGUUAUUUUGCGAAUGUGAUUAAACCGAUUAAAUUGGUUCUCUUUAAUUUAGUUUAGCAUAUACAUAAAUGUAUCCCUAUAGCAAUCUCUACGGAUAAUACACUCGCAGAUUGAUCGGUCAAACUCUCGCAAAGUUUUAAAAAAACUGAAGUAACAAAAAUAAAUUAGUCCGAUCAUUGACCUGACUAGGCUGGAAUGCAAACAUUAGCAUGUGGGUUCAUUUUUUUUUUUCCAAGUAAAUUUUUUUUAAUCUCUACAGUGUGAGUAAACAGCAAUGCAAUUUAUACCACACAAGUAAAAAUAAUUGAAGAAAAUAAAUAAUAUGAAAUAUAAGAAAAUUAAUGAUAAAAUAUGGUUAUAUUGGUUUGAAUAAGAAAAAUAUUUUCGUAUAAGAAUUCCAAUCUUAUGCAAUUUAUACCACAGGAGGAAAAAUAUAUAAUUAAUUCAAUCCAACUUAUUCUAAUUAUUAUUAUUAUUUUGAAUAUAUAAUUAUUAUUAUAUAGAUGUGGAAAAAUAUAUAAUUAAUAUUGCCAGUAUCGCAUACAGUUGCAAAGCUACAGCCACUACUAAAAAAAUGACCUUUACUAACACUUAGUUUCUGACACUUUAUAAAAAGUAUCAGUAAUUAUGUACAUAUGCACCAUUUUCCGCUUUUAACAAACAAAUAUUAUAAAUUAUUGAUACUAACGUGUCAGUAAAUUAAAUAUUAAAAAUCACUGAUACUAAAGUAUCAAAAGUUUAAAAAAAAUAAUUAGAAUUUGUAAAACUUUGAACUCGAACCUAAGACUUCUAAAAUUUAAAAUACUUAUGUUUGUUCCGCAAACCAUCAGACCGAUAGAAUUAAGACCCAAAUAUUAUAUUAAAAGAUUAAAGAACAAAAAUUAAAAAACAAAAUCCCCAAUCGAUCUCUUCCCCUCAUUUCGUCUAAGUGAAUAAAACUUACAAACGAAAACUUACAAAAUCCCUAAAUCUACCACGCCGCCGACGCACCCAAAACCUCUCCUAUCACUGCCGUCACUCGACUACCCACUGCCGUCGACUCCCAUGCACCAAAGUCUGGUCUCUUUUGCUGUCAUCAUCUCCUGUGCACCAAAGUUCAAAAUCCCCUGUCGUGAAAGUUCAAAAUCCCCUGUCGUGAUUUAUGAUUUUGUGUCAUCAUCGGUAAUAAAUCCACUGUCGUCAUCACCCUAAGGUCGUAACAGCUUCCACCCAUCAUCAAUACUCAGCUAUUCAUCAUUGGUAUAAUAUAUCAGCCUUUGUGGUCGCUGUUGUACUACCUCAAUCUCCGUCGUCGCUUCCGUACUGCCUCAAUCUCUAUUCAAGGUAAGCUCAAUCUUAUGACUGCCUCAAUCUCUGCCUUUUUUAAUUUAUUUCUUUCAUUGGUCUUCUUUCUGUGCUCUCCUUAAUUUCUAAUUGACUACAAUUACAAAUUAAGAUUUAUUUUGAUAAUUUUGUUAUAAUUAUUAUUUUGACGAGAUCAAAUUUAUUUUGAAAUAUUUAUAAAGAAAUUUUAUUUUUCUGUCCAUUAUCGCCAACUUAUUACUUAUACAUGCGACGUGAUAGAAUUUACUUACCGCACACAUUAACUAUACUGAUUUUGAUGAAGUAUUGCUCUUGAACAUGUACUAGAAUUAUUGUUGCAAUGAGUCUUUGAUUAUCGACAUGUUAUUAGCAUCUCUUAAUAGAAAUAUCUAGGUUAUCCAUGAUGACUUUAAAUUGAAAAAUGGGCUUAAUUGAAAAUGGCAUGAUGGGCAAAUAAAAGUCAUGAACAAAAAAGUGAAGUGGAGGGUAAAUGCAGUAGCAUUAGGCAUCUGGCGGCAGUAGAGGCAAGUAGGUGGAGAUGGUCCUGGUGGGUAUUGUAAUGUAAUAAAGAAAAAAGGAGUGGGUUGCAGUUGUAGUUGCCUAUUGUAGAGUGAGAGGGACUCAUGAACCCUUUUGUAAUAUUAACAAAUAUGUACACACAUAAGCUAUACAUUUGUCUAUGUGUACUUAAUUCAACUAGAUUUGGAUUGCUAUGAAGUCGGGUAUGAAAAUUAUGUUUGAUUUUAGUUUUCAAUGGAAAUUUCAAAGAGAAUCCCACGCCAUUGAAAUUUCAAACAGGGAGGAGAGUUAAAUGGUUGUUUCCCUUUUUUCUAUUUGGUUCUUCCCAAGUUGAAAUGAAAACGAACAGUAGAAUAACAUGGUCUUGAUUGGGGUGAGCAUUUGACUUGGUUCAAUCCAAACUGAAUCUAAUUGAGCUGUAUUAUGGCAGUUCGGUUCAAUUCGAUCAGGCAAUAAAAAUCAAAUGAUUCAUGUGAUUUAUUUAAUCUAUAAUAAAUAUGAAUAAAAGUGUAUUUGAAAAUAAGUGUAAUAUUAUAAACUUAUGUUGUUAGGGGAAUUAUUAGAGAUUACAAAAAUGGUAGGAGAUAACAGUAACAGAAAAAUUGGCAAUCUACCUUGGGAAAAAUGAAGAGAAUAAUUCUUCUUGCUGCAUUUCUAUUGUCAGCAUUUGGUUUUGCUACGAGUAUGUAUACUUAUAUCAUGGGAAGAACCAGAACUGCAACUAGAGUACAUAGGCAGAUGCAACUAGUUAGGACUGCGGAAAUUUCUUUCUCUGUGGUUCAAUUAGUUGUUACGCUUGCUAAUUUUAUUCUGGCAGAAUUGGGUGUCAAAAACAGCUUUGAUGCAUAUGUUUUCUCACUAGUCUUUGCUAUAAUUGUUGCUGCAUUUAAUAUUAUAUAUGCUGGGGGAGUUUCCAAUUCAUCAGGCUUUGCCUCUCCUAUUGCCCCAGCUGCUGAUCACCAACUGUGAAAUUCCCAGGUAUGAUUGUGAAUAUAAUUGUAAAUAUCAAGCUGCACUGGGGGAAUUCAUGUAAGCAACUCAUCACCUCUAUUACCUCCUACAAAUUUAAAUAAACUUGUGUUAGAAUAUAUGACGGCAUGGCAAUUAUGCUCGAGUCUAGGAUUAAUUUGUUGUCCCUUGGCUAAUUCUAGCCAUAUGCUACUUGAUCCUAGGCUAUUAUAUGAAUCAAGGCAUUCAUUUAAUGUAGGGGCUCACUAACUAUAUAACCCCUCUUUUGUACAUUCUUUUAUAUGUUGAAAUACAACUUUGCAUCAAUUGUCUCUCUUUUACUUUUUAGUUUGCUUUCUUUUUGUCUUAUUACAAGUUGCAUGAGUCGACAAACUUUUGAAGUGUUGUGGAAGAAGGCAAUAUAAAAAUUGUGAGAUUCCAUUAACUUAAAUGCAUUUGUAAAUUAGUAAUUCAGUCGUUAAAUGACUAUAAAAGAUUUAUUUUAUAAUUUAUAUUUAUAAUGCUAGAGUGCCUCUGUUAGAUUUAGAAAUCUUUUAUGUAAUUAACGAUUGUUUUUGUAGUACUAUGGCUACAUCAGAGCUGAUAUCAAAUAUUUGAUUGUUUGUAUCUUUUGUAGGUUCAUAACCCAAGUAUUAUUGCUGAGGACGUGGAAGCAAACAACAGCUUGUCUAUGGCCUCAUGUACAGAUCAUCAAUUGCAGAAUAUCCAGGUAUGAUUGUGAACAUAAAUGAAUCAUCAAGCUGCACUGGGUAAAUUCACAUAAACAACUUAUCACCUCUAUGAGUUCCUACAAAUUUAAAGAAAGUUGUAUGAGACGUUAAGCUUUUGAAAUAUUGUGGAAAAAGGAAAACUAAAAGUAAAACAACAUGCCCUUGAUUGGCCUUUUGUCUUUUUUCAGGGCUCUUUAUUUUGUUUAAUGCCGAGUUACAAUUGGCAAAAUGAGUUGUUUAGAAAUAACUUGAUUGGGACCAUUGUAAUUUUAUAAUUUUUGUUAUAGUUUUUGCCUGUAAUAAGAGAAUUAGAGACUUUUUAAUGUGAAAUGGCACAUUACAAGAUUAUAGUUGAAGGUUGGCUUGUAUUUGGUAGCAUUGAUUUUAGUAGAAUAAUAGAAUUAGAUGGAACUGAAGGUAAUCUUUAUUAGUAAAACUAGUAUUUGCAGUCUCUAACUCCACUCAGGCAGCAUAGUUUACAGAUAGUACCACUAUGUUUUUAAUUAAAACUUUAGCUUUGUGUUUUUUUGCUUUUUUGUGGAUAAAUUUUAAUUCAUAAGUAGGUUGUAAAAUUGAGUGUUCUCUCUCUAUACAUAUACUUUAAACAUUAAAAAAAAUUUAUAUGAUGAUUAAACAAUAUGAAGACUUUUUAUUUUAUUUUAAGUCUUAAUUUUUAUUAGUUACUUCACUUAUGAAUUAGCUUGACUUAAUAAAAAACCAUUAGGGCCCUUCUUGCUUGUUCAUCUUCUGUUUUGCUUUCAAAGCUUCUUUUGUUUCAAUUUUAGGAUUUUGUUCAAAUUACUAUUAUAAGUGCUUAAUUAUAAACCUUCUAAAUAUCUACUUUUACCUGUCCAUCUUCUACUGCUCAUCACUCGUUUAUGUUUUAAUGGGUUUGUUGCAAAGUUGUUAUUAGUGGCAACAUGUUACAAUAUUGUUGCUUUUACUUCACUUUGAUGAAGAUAUACCUAUUGAGGUUUUAUAUCUACAUCCACAUUUGCAUUAAAGUGGUUAGUGUUGGUGUUCACAAGUUGCUUCGGCUUCAAACAUCACUAUAUAAUCAUGUAGAUCAACACUCGUUGAAAAAUUUUUCUUAUUAGCAUGGUUUUCAAGAUAUUUAGUGUUUGCCUGUAUAAUUUUGGAUAGAAGAGUAACAUUAUUGGAGUUCAUUUCAAGUGCAUAAAGUGUUUUGAAUUGUUAUCACACGAAUAUAUUUAAAUGAAUGAUAAUUAAGAAGUUUACAAUUUAACUUUUGGCGAAUAACUUCUUGUUUGGAAAUUAAAGUUCAAGGGAAUUGAUGAGUACUCGAUGAAAGAGCUCUCGCAACUUCGUGAUCAAUAGGCUACAUAAGUUGCCAAGUUAAUUAAAACCUACAAUCGCGAGGUAAUAUAUGAGUAAUUUAGGACCACUUUUGCUUCCAAAUCUCUAAGACUUAUUUUUUGUGGUGUUCUAAUUGAUUUUAUGUGCUUGUAGGUGGGGGAAAAAAAUGAAGCCACGUAUGGAUAUUCAGGAUAUUCUUGUGCUUAUUAUUGUUGGUUAAUGUUCGUUGAAAUUGAAUUUAGUACUUUGUUGCUUAAAACUUGUCGAAAACUUAAUUUGAUACUUAUGUUCUUUUUUUUUCCAAACAAUGAUGUAGUUGAAUUAUGUUAAUUUAAGUGAUGUAUUUGGGAUAUUUAUUAUGUGAAUUGUGUUGGGAGAUUUGAUAUAUUUAAUAUAUUUAUUUUUUUUAAUUGUAAAACAAACUGGAAAAAUAUAAUUAAAAUAAAAAUAUAUUACUAACCAAAAGCAGCAUAACAUCACUAAAUACUGACUCAAUUUUAAAUAUUGAUAUGUAAAUAGUAUCAUUAAAUGUUUACACUUCGUAUCAUUAUUUUAGUGAUACUAUAGUGACAUGAAUUACUGACACGUAAAUAGUAUCAUUAAGUACUAACGCCAUAGUGUCAUUAUUUUGGUGAUACUAGAGUAACACGAAUUACUGACACGAAAAACGCUGACACCAAAAAUUAGUGUCAGUGUGUUCUAGCUGGAGCAUUACUGACACAAUUAACAAGUGUCAGUAAAAGUUAUUACUGACACUAAAUUGGUGUCAGUAAAGCCCAUUUUUCUAGUAGUGAGCCUUGCAGCUUGAACAACCUUCGGAUAGUCUUGACUCUUGAAUCCAAAUACUCCGCUACACUUGAGUGUAGCCAAUGAACCGUGGUCCUUCCUUAGCUAUAAUAUGAUCCGGUGAUGAAGUAUCACAUAUGCAAUUUUUGUAACGGAUAGACAAGAUGAAUUUAGGUGAAGUGAAAGCAUAAAAAAAAACAUACCACAUAAAUGAAUCCCUUCAUGAUAUGUUUAGAACAGAGUUUUAUACAAGGAGCCGGUAUAGUGUCGAGCUCUCAAAAGUUGUCUUUGGCUACCAUUUGGCAAAAAUUAAAUAAAAUAACAUAUUAAUUUAGAAAUUAUAGAAAAAAUAUUAAUAGUAAAAAAUAAAUAGAAAAUAAAAGAAAGAUAUAAUAUUGUCAAAAUCAAGAAAAAAUUUAUAUAAUAAAUUAAAAAUGUUUGUUUCAUAUAUUAUAUGUGAUGUGUCAUAUUUAACAUCAAAAUUUUCUAGAUGUUUUGUUAUUUUUCUCAACUUUGUUAUUCUAAAUAACCCAAAAAGUUUUUUUUCCCGCCCGUUUUAUGUUUGACGUCCUUAUUGCAUGUUUGACCCCCAUUCUUACAUCUUUCACGUGACCUGCUGCAUGUUGACAUGGUUUUCAUGUUUAACCUCAUAUAUUACAUGUUUGUCCUCACUUGUUACAUGUUUCAUGUGGAUUGUUGCAUGUCUUAAAUAAAGCCAAAAAAUAAAAAUUAUCCCACCAAUUUUAUGUUUCACGUCCGCGUUGCAUGUUUGAUCUCCGUUAUUGCAUCUUUUAUGUGAACUGUUGCAUGUUGACGUGGUUCUCAUGUUUAACUUUAUGUGUUGCAUGUUUGACCUCAACUGUCGCAUGUUUUACGUGACCUUUUUACACGUAAAUUUCAUGUUGUAUGUUUGACCUCACUUCUUGCAUGUUUCACGCGGAUUGUUGCAUGUCAUGAAUAAAGCCAAAAAAUAAAAAAUUUCCCACUCGUUUCACGUUUGUAUACCUCCAUUGUUGCAUCUUUCACGUGAACUAUUGCAUGUUUCUCAUCUUUAACCUCAUCUGUUGCAUGUUUGACCUUUGGUGUUGCAAGUUUUACCUGACUUUUUUACAUGUAAAUUUCAUGUUGCAUGUUUGAUCUCACUUGUUGCAUGUUUCAUGUGGAUUUUCGCAUGUUUGAAUAAAGCCAGAAAUGAAAAUUUUCCCGGCUGUUUCAUGUUUCACGUCUGUGUUACAUGUUUGAUCUUCAUGUUGUAUCUUUCACAUUAACUGUUGCAUGUUGAUGUCGUUCUCAAGUUUAACCCCAUCUGUUGCAUGUUUGACCCCAUAUGUUCCAUGUUUUAUGUGACCCUCUUACAUGUAAAUUUCAUGUUACAUGUUUGACCUCAUUUGUUACAUGUUUCACAUGGGUUGUUGCAUAUCUUGAAUAAAGCCAAAAAAUGAAAAUUGUUCCACUUGUUUCAUGUUUCACGUUCGUGUUGCAUGUUUGACUUCCGUCGUUGCAUCUUUCAAGUGAAUUUUUAAUUUUUGCACGUUGAUGUGGUUCUCAUGUUUAACCUCAUCUGUUGCAUGUUUGACAUCAGAUGUUGCAUAUUUUACAUGACCUUUUUAAAUAUAAAUUUCAUGUUAUAUGUUUGACCUCACUUGUUGCCUGUUUCACUUGAAUUGUUCCAUGUCUUGAAUAAAGAGAAAAAUUGAAAAUGGGUGAGGAAGACAAAGUAAUAGUGCAUAUAAUCACGAAGUUGGCUAGCCAACUUAUUUAACAAUGAAUCUAGUGGUUAACCACUUCCACUCCAGAGACACCCAACAAUGAAACGACUAGCCAAUAGAUUUAACGAAGAAUUAAGCAGUUUAUCGCUUCCACUCCGGAAACACUCAACAAUUAAGUGGUUAGUCGACUAAUUUAACAAGGAAUCAAAUGGUUAACUGCUUGCGUUCAAGAAAAUAGCUAACAAUGAAACAUUUAGCCAAAUUGUUAAGCAAAGAAUUAAGCAGUUAGUUGCUUCCACUCCAAAAACAACUAAGUAUGAAACAGUUACUUAGCUUAUUUCACAACAAAUGAAGCGGUUAACUAGUACAACGAAUGUUUGACGUUGAUAUUUCAUGUAUCACAUUGUCUAACACAUGUAUAAAUAUCAUGUUGCAUUCAAAAUUUCUUGACAUUUCAAGUGAUAAUUUAUAAUCAAAAUUAUUUGUUUCAUAUUCUUUUUUAUUAUUAAUUAAGUUUAAUUAAGCCCCAUCUAUUAAGAAAAAAAAAUGAAAUGUUGCCUUAGUGUUAAAAUUAUUUGAUAAUUUAAGUGAUCAUUACUACUCCAAGUAAUAAUUUAUCAUUUUAGUUAUUAUUUGUUUCAUUAUUUUGUAAUUUGUUUAAUUUUUCACACGAAAAUAACUAUGGUGACAAUUUUAAAUUACCAAUUAAACCUUCUUCUUUUUUUUAGUGCAAUUGGUAAUUUGUAAAUUUUUUAUUUUAAAAAUCAAAUAAUACAUACACACAUUAUUAUUUUGAUAUUUCAUCAGAGCUUGUAAAAUGAAACCCAUAAACAAAGGCAUCCCAAAUUUUGUAAUUACAAAAAAAAAAAAAAAAAACGUAAAGAAGAGAGUUGGCGGGUGCACGCCAUACGCGAAUUAAUUUUCACCAUCAUCUUCCACCAUAUGUCGUGAGCAAUGGAGGCUUUCCCUCCCCACUACCAUUACAAAAAAGGUGUCGAAAAAGGUGUCGACCUGUGUCACACCCCCAUCCAAGAAGUGAGCUAAAAAUUAUGAAACUCCAAAGCACUGUCUAAGCAUAGCACACAGGCUACUUCCAGCAUCUCCAUUAACAAAAUACUUGAAAAAAGCAAGGCAUUCUAUGAAAACAUGCUCAAAGAUUCCAAAAGAAAAUUGACAUUUAAACACAUAAGAAUCAAUCUUAAGAAUCCAUCAAUUUUGCAAUCAAGCGAAAAAAAGUCAAUCUCUGAUCUAUAAGACCAAAAUUCAAAGUCUAUAAUUUCAAUGAUCAAAUAACAAAUGAUGUACAAAUAAAAUUCAUGGAAAUCUAUAGAAACCUUUGGCAUUAUUUUAGACCAUGUAAAAAGCACAGGCCUUGUUCAAUAGUCCCUUUAAAUUAUUGGGUUGGUUCAAUUACUAUACAAAUUUGCAGAUAUAAUCUAGACAUGUAAAGCACCUAGAAUAUAACAUCUUAGCUCAAAUUUAGUUACAGUUAUUACUAUUUCUAUGACCCAAUACAGAGUUACAGAAAACUGGUUUAUUGACAGGAAACGCCAAUAACCUAAGCUUCUGAUUUUCUUUAAAAAUUCAAUACUAUUCAGAAUAUUGUGAAAACUUCCAAAAUAUUAUUAGACACAACAUAUAAAAUUUUCAAGCCAUUUGGACAACUCCAUAAUUGGUUCUCACAGGAUUGAACUAAACAAAUCAAAACUGUCUUUUUAAUUCACACAAAAACAGCUGAGCUUUGGUGAUUUAUUAAAAUUAAAAUACUCAAUAUGUUGGGAUGAAAAUUCCCAGAACAUAAUUACACAUAUAACUUGAUAACGUAUUAAAAGUUCAAGACAUUCUGAUAUCAUUAAGCUAAUGUUUCAUAAGAUCAAACACAAGUGAAUAGUUCUGUCAAGGGGUUUAGGGCUAAAGUAGUGGAGUUUGAAAAAUCAUAAAAAACAAAAGAGAACCAGUUGUUCAAUUACCAAGGAACUUUUAACAUUUAAAAUACAUUUAAAAUAGACUUAUUGAAGUUUAAUAUCUCAAAAUUUUAGCUCAUGUUGACACCAAUAGAUUAUUCGUUUAUAACACCAAACAUGGUACAUACACAGUUUUUGAAAAAUUCCAACAGCAACUGACCAAUUUGACGAAUCCAUUAAAAAUCAACCAUUAGUUCAAUUCAUUACAAAAUGUCCAGAAUCGAAAUAUACAAUUUAGCUUGUAUUACUCAAAAUUUGAAGCUAAUCAAGCAUCAUUUAGUCAUAUUUUCAAACAAUCAAAGUUAUGAUAAUAGUUCAACAAUCUUUAAAUUUUCUGCAGAAUCAAUAAACUAUUUAUAAUCUUUUCAGUUCAAUAAUCAAUUUUCUGGCAAAAUUAGACAUGCAAAACCAACAACAACCUUACUUUUCAGUUUUGAGAUAACAAAACAUCAAUUGCACAAAGUUACCUACCUAAAUCACAAGCUUUAACUUCCUAGCCUCUUAAUAAAGCUUUCUGUCACCUUUGCAAGUAUUAACCUCGGCCUUGACAUUACCAAAAAGCCUACCCAAAAUAAAAUUAAAAAAAAAAAAAGAUUAUCAAUCACACUUCCAUUAAACAAAGUCAUAAGAGCUUAUUUAAAAAUUGAGGUGUCUUUUACCUCUUGACGAAUAGCUCAAGUCCAAACUUCCAAUCUAUAGCACUACAUAAUUGAAACAUACAACCACCGAUCAACAAAUAACCCAAAAAAUUGCUAACAGUUUCAAUUAAAAAUAAAAGCUGGUGAUUAUAUAGCAUCAGUAUAUAGCAUUAAAUCAUCAAGGAACAGUAUACGAUGGUGAGUCUCUAGAAACAUCAAUAAAAGUUUCUGAAAAACAGCAAAAAAACAACUUAAAAGUAAUAUAAUGAAUAUCAACACAUAUAAAAUAAGAUUGGUCAAAAAAUUAAAAAUAAAAGAAAAAGAAGCUGAAUGGAUAAAUCUUUACAAAAUUUGUGGGUACCCAUUUUUAGUAUUCCGAACAAUGAGUGUGGAGCUCAAAACGAGCAAACAACACCGAAAACCAAACAAGAAAAAAUUAGUAUAUCAAGAGAAAAAAAUUAACUUGUUUUGAGGGUUUUCGCUGGUGGCUUCAGGAAGCCCACGCGGCCACGAUUUUGGCCAAAGCUAGGAUGACGGCAGUGAAGGUUGAAGAACUGAUGGUAUAGUCAAUGGUGGGACAGAAAUAAUGGUGGGCGGUUGGAAACGCAGCAACAGACGUGAUACCAACUUUGCCUCUCCCUAGCUCUCGUAUACAAACCAAAUACUAGGGUAGAUGACUCCAAUUGGUUGAUUAGUGUGAGAGAGACAAUGGAUUUGAUUUUAGGUAAUGAGCAAAGAAAUCAGAUGAUAGAAAUUAUGGAUUUCAAAGAGGGAAGAAAUUUAGGGAUUUCCCUUUUAAGAAAGCGAAGAAAUCAGAUCGGCGAGAGUGGGGCCGGGGGGGUUAAAUGGAUGAGAAAAAUUAUGGAUUUCAAAUGAAUGAGAAAUCUGAUGGUAUAAAAUGUUUAUUAAUAUAUACUUGAGAACCAACAUCUCAAGUUCAAUCGAACGGUUUGAUUUCAAUUUUCAAUAUGGUGUCCGGGCUUAGUGCCGGGCAUUGUAGCUUUAACCCUUAUACAACUGUUAAUAUAUAAGAACUUGUAUUGGUGAAUUUACAGACAUAAUAAAUUAGGUGUAAAAUCUAUAAUGUACUUAUCGUAAACGACAACUUUAUGGAGCAAUAAUCCUAGUUUUCUUUUCUAAUUUUAUGAGCAAGUAAAACUCGUUAUAUUUUGCUUCAUUAAAAAAGAAUAGUAAAUGGCUUGCCUAGCUUUGAGCAAAGUAUUUAGAUCAUUUGAUAUGUAAUAGGUGCCAUUUCUCAAUCUACCAGCUUUGAUAUUGACAAAAUGCAGUACACGCAUAAGCUGAUUAUAGUAAACAAUUUGGCAAGAGUUCUCUAUAGAAAAUUAAUGGGGACAAAUGACCUUAGAAAUUGAAUAAGAUGCUGCAAAUUGACCAAGUGACAAAUCCGUUCCCAUCCGAACCAUAGCUAAUUUAGAAUGAAUAUUUGAAAAUAAGAGAAGGCAAGACACAUGUGGGCACAGCAACCGAGGAAAGCAGACCUAGCGUUGGCAUGAAUUAAAAGUUAGAUAAUACUCUUACACACUAUUUUUGAAGGCAUUCAUGGCAAAGAUUAUAAUUCACUACCAGUGAAAGAAAAGAAAAUCAAUUUGAUUGUCUCAUACGUCUAGCUCUUCAACAUUUUAAAGCAACGAGCAUCUAAAUUUUAAGAAACCCAUUACAAUUUCCUUUGCAUUGAUUCUCUGCUUUGGUGAGUCUACAAUACACUCUAUAGCUAAAUUGAAGACAAAUGACACACGUUACUCUUUGGUCAUAAAAUGUUUGUCUUCCCAAGCUAGUAGAUUUGCAUCAACAAUUGUCGUAACUGAAAUGAGUAGCGAAUCAUUAACCCAAUACUUUAAUCUCAUUUUCUUCUGAAAAAAUUUCAUCUGUGACUUUAGUGUAAUAUAUGUUCUUUUCUAAUUUUAAGAAUAUCAUUUUAAAAGGAAUUGUAAAUAGCUUCCCUAGUUUGAGCAAAGUAUUUAGGUCAUCUGACAUAUAAUAAGGUCCAUUUCUCAACCUGCCAGCUUUGGUUUUCAUAAAAUGCGAUAUACACAUAAAGUAAUGGGUAUAAAACUAAAUGCACUGAAAUUUUCAAUCCUUCUAAAUCCUACAAAAUAUUCAUAAUUUUCCACACAUGAAGCAAAAGAACAAUAAUUAAAUCACACUGACCUGAUUAUACCAAAUGAAAGUCCAAAUUUUCCCUAUAGAAAAAAUAUAAAUAUAAUUAAACCUAAACAAAUGGCAAAAAUCUCCAUGGAAACUUGAAGGGACUCAAAUUGCACAAUAACAAAUCACCUUAGAAAUUGAAUAAAAUGCAGCAAACUAACCAAGUGUCAAAUCCGCUCCCUUCCGAAUCAUAGCUAAUUGAGAAUGAAUAUUUGAAAGUGAGAGAAGGCAGGAUCACAUGCGGGCACAGCAACCAAGGAAAGCAGACCUAGCAUUGGCACGAAUUAAAAGUUAGACAAUACCCAUACACAAUUAUUGGAGGUAUUCAUUGCAAAGAUUACAAAUCAUUACCGGUGAAAGAAAAGAAAAUCAAUUUGAGUGUCACAUGCGUCUACCGCUUAACAUUUUUAAGCAAUGAGUCUCUAAUUUUUAAGAGUCUUGUUACAAUUUCUUUUGCAUUGAUUCUCUGCUCUGGUGAUUCUACAGUACACUUCAUAGCCAAAUUGAAGAUAAAUGACACGCAUUGCCCUUUGGUCGUAAAAUGUUCGUCCUUCUGACUUAACAGAUUUGCAUCAACAAUUUCCAUAACUGAAAUGGGUAGUAAGUCAUUAACCCAAUGCUUUAAUGUCAUAUCUCCAAAAAAGAUUUCAUCUGUGGGUUUCUUUCGGGUAAAUGUUUCCAUUAACAUAAUCCCAAAACUAUAAACAUCCCCAUUUGUGGAUACUUGUCCUUCUCUUCCAUACUCUAUGGAUUGCAACAAUUACACAGUAAGAUAAUAUAAUUUAUAAUAUUAUGCGUAAAUGAAGAUCAAAACAAAUAAAUAACAUAUCAGAAAUUAUUAAAGAAAUAAAAAAAUAUUUAUUAUGUAACAAACCUGGUGCCAUAUAGCCUAUGGUGGCAAGUGUUUGUGUUUGAGUCAAAGAUUGAUCUUCUUUGAGUAAGGGCUUUGCCAUGCCAAAAUCACUCAAAUGAGCAACCAUAUUAUCAUCUAACAAUACAUUGCUGGGCUUUAAGUCACAGUGAAUUAUUGGCACUGAAUAACCAAAGUGCAGAUAUUCCAAAGCUGAUGCAACAUCUAUCAUUAUGUUCAAUCUUUGAAAAAUAUCCAAAAUGUAGUUGCUCGAAUACAAACACUUCUCCAGACUUCCAUGAGGCAUGUAUUCUAAUACCAAUGCUUUAAAAUCAUCACUUGAACAACUGCUAAUGAUUUUUAUAAUGUUUCGAUGGCGAAUACGUUUUAUCAUGUCACAUUCAAUAUCAAAACUCUUAAAUGCUCUUCCAUAUUGUAGGUCAAAAACCUUUACUGCAACCUCCAUCCCAUCCUGAAUUCUUGCCUUGUAAACAGAGCCAAAACCUCCUCUGCCGAUUAGAUUGUUUUCACUAAAUCCGUUUGUAGCUUGAAAAAUUUCUAGGUAUGUAAACCUUCUCUGAUUUGAUAUUCGUGGCAUAUUAGCAUCAUUUGGCAGUGGUUUCCCUCUCUUUCGAUAUCUUAAUAUAAACAAAAUCACUGCCAUCAUAAAUAUAGUACUCAAUGGCAAGACAAUCCCUAUGAGAAGAUCAUUUUUCCUUGAUGUGUGAUGGAUUCUAGUUCUGCACGGUGGGACUUGUAGAUUGGGCAUACCACACAAUAAUUCAUUUCCCUCGAAUGAUUCAGUUGAGAAAUUUCUAAAAGGUCCCUUAUUAGGAAUCUCCCCUUCCAACUUAUUGAAAGAAACAUUUAUAUCUUUGAGAUCUAACAAUUUCUCUAAAGAUAUAGGAAUAGUUCCAGAGAGAUUAUUAUUGGAUAAAUUUAAGGAUUUCAAGUUUAUCAAAUCACCAAUUGAAUCGGGAAUUGAGCCUUGUAAUCUAUUAUAUUCUAAAAAGAGAUAUUGUAGAUCUUUUAGGCCUCCAAUUGUUGUUGGGAUAACAUCUGAAAAAUUAUUCAUCGACAAAUCUACUUGUACCAAAACCUUCAAAUUUCCAAUCUCUGAUGGGAGUGGACCAGUAAAAAAAUUUGAAGACAAGUCAAGGUACAAAAUGUCCUUAAGGUUCCAUAAAGUUGAAGGAAUAGAAGUUAGCUUAUUGGAGCCCAAAUAGAGAUUCCUUAGAUUAGUGAGAUUGCCAAAGCAUGCUGGUACGAAUCCAUCAAGCUUAUUGCCCCCAGAGUCCAACUCAAACAGUGCAGCUAAACGACAAAGAUCAUCUGGGAUUGAUCCUUCCAAUUGAUUAUCUUCCAAACUCAAUAAUUGAAGCUUUUGUAAUUUGCCAACAGCAAUCGGAAUUGAUCCAUUCAAGUUGUUUCCUCCUAAAUAAAUUGCUAUCAAGUUGGUCAAGUUGCCGAUCUCUUCAGGGAUGCCGCCACUAAUGUUGCAAUUGUGCAUCCGAAAGUCUUCCAUAGAUUGAGAAAGAUUGCCUAUAGCCCUUGGAAGAAUGCCACCUAGUGGAUUAUUAUAGAAGCCAAAAUACUCCAAAUACUUGCAAUUUGACAACGAGGAUAGAAACCUCAAUUUUGGAGUUGAAGAUGUCAAAUAAUUGUCAUUUAAACCAAGCCACUUAAGGUUUCUUAAAUUGCCAAAUGUGUUUGGAAUAAAACCGGAGAAUGAGUUCUCUUCCAAUGCUAGUUUGGAGAGCUUAGAAGCAUUGAAGAUGAAACUAGGAAUUGUGCCACUAAAAUUAUUACCCCACAAGUGAAGUUCUUCAAGAUUUGGAAGUCGGACGUCUCCGCUUGAUGCAAGUCUUCCCGAGAGUGAGUUACUCUGAAGAUGAAGUGAUUUGAGUGUUGACACAUUGAAGAUUGUAGUUGGGACAACACCAACUAAUUUGUUAAAACUAAACGCCAUCCAUUCUAGAUUAUGGAGAUUACCGAUUUCAUGUGGUAUCUCACCUGUAUUUUGAAACAAAAAAUAAUUCAAAUUUAUUUUUAAUAAUAAAUUACACACUUUUAAAUCAUGAAAUGAGUAUUCGUAAUUAAAAUUAUUAAAUAUGAGUUUAAGAUGAAUUAUUAUACAUAGAUAAAAUGUUAAUAAAAUUUUAAAUUUUUAUUCUUUUUAAUUAAAUAUAAAUAUUAAUAAUUCCAGUAUUCAUGUCAUUAUUAAAUUAAAAAAAUAAAGAAACCACUCAUUUUAAUAUUAAUUUGAAUUAGUAAUAUAAUAUUUGUAUGAACAUAAGAAUUUUUUUCAAAACUAAACUUUUACAUUAUUUUUCUAGGUCCUACUACAGUGAAUAUAUGAAUUGAUAUCAUGGUGGAAGAAUAUUGAUUUCAUGUUUUAAAAAACAAUUAAUCUAUUUUAGACUUUCCUUUACAAAAUAAAAACACUUUUUUUUAUGCCUAAAUAAACGUCUGAACUUAACCGCCAUUAUCAGAAACUGUUGCUUGUUUUUUACUUCUUCUUCCCUACUACUUAUUGUAUCACUAACUUUUGAACUUUUGGUAUAAACAUAAGCAAAGAAGAAACAUUGCCAAUUAAUUCUUAAUUCUUUUACAAACUUACGUCAUGGAAUUAGAUUAAAAUUGGAUGCGCUACUGUCAUGGUAUUCUGCAAUAGCAACUGACAGAUGAAGUAGACAACAUCAAUUGAACACCAUUUCUAUUUGCAAUCUCUAAAAUUAAUUUAACUUUUCACACUUAUAGAUAUUGUUCAAUCUUUCUAAUUCUCCAUUUGAUUUUGGACCCUAGAAAGACAAUUAAAAAAAUGAACAAAAAAAGAAAGUAAAGAAAAACAUAUAAUCUGCUUGAUAGAUUAUCAAAAUUUGUCGAGUGAUCACAAAAUAAAAGAAAAUGCAAUAGAAAAGAGAAAGAGAAAAACUAACACAGUGAAAGAAAUAGAAGGUUUAUGCUUGUUAGACAUUCGUUAAUCUUAGAGCCAUUAAGUCUUAGAUUUUUAAUUAGGCAAUGAAACGAUGUAUUUUAAUUUUAAUAAGGAAAGUCUAAAAUAAUUUAAAUCAUAGACUCACUAAAAUGCUUAAACAAAAUUGAUUUUCGAGCAAAUAAACACCUGCUAUUCUAGGAACAAGCGCACAGUGGUCCAGGUAAAAUACUCGAAGUGAUAACUAAAAACAUGACAUAAAUAUAAAUCACACGUACCUUGGAGUCUGUUUUGGUAAAGAGAUAAAUACUUAAGCUUGGUCAAAUUGCCGAUUUCUUUUGGUAUGUCUCCCGACAAGCCAUUGACCGACAAAUAUAAUGUUUGUAGAAGUUUGCACCUUGAUAAAGUCGAUGGGAUUUUGCCGUCAAAGCUGUUUACGCUUAGAAAGAGGAUUUCCAGAAAAGGAAGGUUGUUGCAAAUAUUUGCCGGGAGUUCACCUGGGAGUUCACCAAAUAAUAUCUUUAUAUUCAAAAUGAAUAUUUUCUAGUAAAGAAGACUUAAAUAACAUAAAGGAAGGGAUUGGACCAGAGAGCUGGUUAUAGCUAAGAUAAAGUUUUUGAAGUGAAGAUGGAUUCCCAAGUUGAGAAGGAACGAUGCCUGUUAAGAAAUCAUUUGUUAGCGAUGGCAUCACCAAUUAUAUAAAGAUAAACAGUGAUUUCAUGUCAAAUAUUUUAUGUUGAUGUCACAAAUGCAUAUUAUUAGCCAAAACUACCUGUCAAGUUAUUAACUGACAAAUCCAAAUUCGAUAGAGAAGAAAGAUUGAAGAUUGAUGAAGGAAUGGUUCCAGUUAAGAAAUUAUUUUGUAGCCAUAACUCCUCUAAUUCUGCAAGAUUCCCGAGCUCUUCUGGAAUUUCUCCUAAAAUCCAUCAGUAACAUAUGCUUUAACUAUUUUAACUUAUUAAAAACAAAAACAAAAAAAAAGUAAAGAAAAACAUCUAAUCUGCUUGAUAGAUUAUCAAAAUUUGUUGAGUGAUCACAAAAUAGAAGAAAAUGCAAUAGAAAAGAGAAAGAGAAAAACUAACAAAGUGAAAGAAAUAGAAGGUUUAUGCUUGUUAGACGUUUGUUAAUCUUAGAGCCGUUAGUCUUAGAAUUUUAAUUAGGCAAUGAAACGAUGUGUUUUAAUUUGAAUAAGGAAAGCGUAAAAUAAUUUAAAUCAUAGACUAAGAAAGGCAUAAACAACAUGUGUCAUGAUCUUAUACAAAAUUUAAGAAAGAUUAGAAUAUGAGAGGAUCCAAAUCCCCUUAUCUAUUAUAAUUCUCUGCUGAUUCAAAGUUACCGUCAACAUUUAUUAUAAGGGUUCCAAUUAAAAUGCUUAAACAAAAUUGAUUUUCAAGCAAAUAAACACCUGUUAUUCUAGGAACGAGCGCACAGUGGUCCAGGUAAAAUACUCGGAGUGAUAACUAAAAAAAUGAGAUAAAUAGAAAUCAUACAUACCUUGGAGUUUGUUUUGGUCAAGAUAUAAAUACUUAAGCUUGGUCAAAUUGCCGAUUUCUUUUGGUACGCCUCCCGAGAAGUCAUUGAUCGACAAAGAUAAUGUUUGUAGAUGUUUGCACCUUGGUAAAGUCGAUGGGAUUUUGCCGUCAAAGUUGUUUUCGUCUAGAAACAGGAUUUGCAAAAGAGGAAGGUUGCUGCAAAUAUUUGCAAGGAGUUCACCUGGGAGUUCACCAAAUAAUAUCUUUAUAUUCAAAAUGAAUAUUUUCUAGUAAAGAAGACUUAAAUAACAUAAAGGAAGGGAUUGGACCAGAGAGCUGGUUAUAGCUAAGAUAAAGUUUUUGAAGUGAAGAUGGAUUCCCAACUUGAGAAGGAAUGAUGCAUGCUAAGAAAUCAUUUGUUAGCGAUGACAUCUCCAAUUAUAUAAAGAUAAGCAGUGAUUUCAUGUCAAAUAUUUUAUGUUGAUGUCACAAAUGCAUAUUAUUAGCAAAUACUACCUGUCAAGUUAUUAACUGACAACUUCAAACUCGAUAGAGAAGAAAGAUUGAAGAUUGAUGAAGGAACCGCUCCAGUUAAGAAAUUAUUUUGUAGCCAUAACAUCUCUAAUUCAGCAAGAUUCCCGAGCUCCUCUGGAAUUUCUCCUAAAAUCCAUCAGUAACAUAUGCUUUAACUAUUUUAACUUAUUAAAAACAAAAAAAAGAAAGUAAAGAAAAACAUCUAAUCUGCUUGAUAGAUUAUCAAAAUUUGUUGAGUGAUCACAAAAUAGAAGAAAAUGCAAUAGAAAAGAGAAAGAGAAAAACUAACAAAGUGAAAGAAAUAGAAGGUUUAUGCUUGUUAGACGUUUGUUAAUCUUAGAGCCGUUAGUCUUAGAAUUUUAAUUAGGCAAUGAAACGAUGUGUUUUAAUUUGAAUAAGGAAAGCGUAAAAUAAUUUAAAUCAUAGACUAAGAAAGGCAUAAACAACACGUGUCAUGAUCUUAUACAAAAUUUAAGAAAGAUUAGAAUAUGAGAGGAUCCAAAUCCCCUUAUCUAUUAUAAUUCUCUGCUGAUUCAAAGUUACCGUCAACAUUUAUUAUAAGGGUUCCAAUUAAAAUGCUUAAACAAAAUUGAUUUUCAAGCAAAUAAACACCUGUUAUUCUAGGAACGAGCGCACAGUGGUCCAGGUAAAAUACUCGGAGUGAUAACUAAAAAAAUGAGAUAAAUAGAAAUCAUACAUACCUUGGAGUUUGUUUUGGUCAAGAUAUAAAUACUUAAGCUUGGUCAAAUUGCCGAUUUCUUUUGGUACGUCUCCCGAGAAGUCAUUGAUCGACAAAGAUAAUGUUUGUAGAUGUUUGCACCUUGGUAAAGUCGAUGGGAUUUUGCCGUCAAAGUUGUUUUCGUCUAGAAACAGGAUUUGCAAAAGAGGAAGGUUGCUGCAAAUAUUUGCAAGGAGUUCACCUGGGAGUUCACCAAAUAAUAUCUUUAUAUUCAAAGUGAAUAUUUUCUAGUAAAGAAGACUUAAAUAACAUAAAGGAAGGGAUUGGACCAGAGAGCUGGUUAUAGCUAAGAUAAAGUUUUUGAAGUGAAGAUGGAUUCCCAAGUUGAGAAGGAACGAUGCCUGUUAAGAAAUCAUUUGUUAGCGAUGGCAUCACCAAUUAUAUAAAGAUAAACAGUGAUUUCAUGUCAAAUAUUUUAUGUUGAUGUCACAAAUGCAUAUUAUUAGCCAAAACUACCUGUCAAGUUAUUAACUGACAAAUCCAAAUUCGAUAGAGAAGAAAGAUUGAAGAUUGAUGAAGGAAUGGUUCCAGUUAAGAAAUUAUUUUGUAGCCAUAACUCCUCUAAUUCUGCAAGAUUCCCGAGCUCUUCUGGAAUUUCUCCUAAAAUCCAUGGGUAACAUAUGCGUUAACUAUUUUAACUGAUUAUUAACCGACACUCAAGAAGAAAAAAAUGAAAUAAAAAAAGCUUUUGCCUGAAGAGAGAUAAAAAAAAAAUUACUCAAUAGAAUUAAAUAAUUAUAGGCUGACAGGAUUAAUAAAUGUGAGACAUUAUUAAUUUUCAUCAAUUAAUUAAACUCAUUGAUCAUACCUUGGAGUUUGUUCCCUCCAAGAUAUAACCCGAUAAGCGUUGUCACGUUGCCAACUUCUUUUGGUAUGGUCCCCGAAAAAUCAUUGAGCGAUAAAGAUAUCUUUCGCAGCCGUUUGCAGCUUGAUAAAGUGGAUGGUAUCUUGCCAUGAAACAUGUUACUUUUAAGAAAUAGGGAUUCCAAAUUGGAAAGGUGAUCGCAAAAUUUUGGUGGGAGUUCGCCAAAUAGUGUAUUGUUUCUAAAAUCAAUAGAAAGUAAAGAAGACAUGUUGAAGAUAGAGGCCGGAAUGGAACCAGAAAACCAAUUAAAACUGAGAUCAAGUGAUUGAAGAGACGAAAGAUUCCCGAGUUCAGAAGGGAUAGUGCCCGUGAGAUUUAACCCAGAUAUAUUCAAGGCUGUGACUCUAUGAGUACGGACAUCACAAGUGAGGCCCGUCCAACUACAGACAGAGCUACUUGUGUUCCAAUUUCUAGCCAAAAAAUUGGUUGGAUCAUCAGUUACAUGACCUUUCAGGGCAAGAAGGGCUUGUUGGUCUAUGGUAAUACUUGUAGUGUUGGCUGAUGCAAUCAUGAAGGAAAGAAUCAAGCAAUGGAGUAAGAGAAAUCUGAGCAUCAUCCGGGCAGAAGGAAUUCUUUCCAUGAGACUAGAAUAUUUAGAUUGUAAGUGUGUGCUUAAUUGGAUUGAUAAUGCAAGAACACUCAUAGCUGCUUCCAAGCAUAUAUAAUGAAACCGAAAUUUCGAAGAAGCAGCAAGAAAGAAAAUAGAGGAGUGAAAAGGCUAUGCUCAUAACUUGCUGAAAGGUGCAAAAUUGUAUGUGGACCCGCUGAGUCAAGGCAGUCCUUCAGGUCCACACUCAAGAUGAUUGCAGUAAGUUUUGUUUUCCUUUAUAAUCAUCCUAUUAACUUAUCGCAAAAUAGUUCUACUCAUUAAAAAAAAAUUAAAUUAUUCUCCAUAUAUAGUAACAAGACAUAUAAUGCUCCUAGAAAAAAAAAAUUAUAUUUCUAUAUGCUUUUUCUGAAUUUGAGAUAAUUUACUAGUUCUGAAAAAAAUUGUACGAACCGGUGGUGUCGUUGGGUAAAAAAGUUCUUCACGGGUCAAUGAGGAUGUCAUAAGUUGACGCAAAUUGCCGAAGUCAAUGAAAGAAGAGACAAUGAAACCGAUUAUUAUUUUUAUAUAAGUAUUCAUAUUCAUUGAAGGAAUUUAACAGUUCUCAAUGGGACAAUAGAUGUUUGAGUGUUUUUGCUAUUGGUAUGAUCAUUCAAGGAUUUACAAGUGCCAAUAAAAAUAUAGGGAAAACCUAUGGUGCAACUGUGGUACCGUGCCACAGUUGCUUCCAGCCGUUGGAUGUCAGUGGACCCCACUUAUUCAAGUGCAUCCAACGGCUGGAUGCAACUGUGGCACGGUACCAUAGUUGCACCGUAGCCGGACCCAAAAAUAUAACCAAAAAGGAAAAAUAUGUGGCUUCAAUUGUAUUUGUGAGGGACACUCAUUUCUGAUCUUUAACUUGAAUUGGUUUUUUUUUUCCUCCAAAUUAUGAAUAUCUCAUGUGGAAAUUGGAAAUUUUUAUCACCUAUGAUUGGCUAAUAUGGAAAUUCUCUUUGAGCAAUAUAUAAUUCUCUUUUAAGAAGAAGAAGUUAGUGGCCUGUUAAUUAUGUGUGCUUUAUGGGUUACAAUUAGUACUAUUUUCAUUUCACUUUUAUUAGGGAUGAUGACAGAACUAAAUUUUUAAAAUUUUCUCCGGAAAAAAUAAAUGUUUACAAAGGCGUCAUGUGCAUGCAAUCCUACAGAAUUUCGUAACUAAUAAUAAACUUGCAAGAGAUUGAGAUUGAACGAUGAUGAAGUACAGAGCAAAUGCAAGAGCAAAAGAAAGAAAACUCGUUUUCAAAAAAAAAAAACACAACAUAAUGUUUAUAUUACUUUUAUUUGCGAAAAUUUUCAAAACAUAAUAGUUAAUUCAUACAUACUGAUUAAUUUGUCAGAUGUGUAAUAUAAUUUUCGGCGAACGCGUUGCAUUAAGUCACUCCUUCAGGUCCACUCCGAAUCACUGGAUAUUUUACUCUCUUCUUAUUAUGUGGAUCCAAUCAAAACUUUCAACUUUUGGGAUUCAGCCAUCGGAUUUAAUAAAAACGUUGUUCAAUGGCAAGAGCUUUGUUUAUAUGGUUUAGUUCUUAUAUUUUAAUUUAGGAGUUUAUUUAAUUUUUAUAUAUUGAAAAAUACUUCAAAAUACUUCUCUUAUUAAAUAUAUUAGGUUCCAGCCUUUAAUAUUUUCGUUUUAAUGGUAAUACCUUACAAUAACAAUCUUGGAGAUAUUAAUGAAAAAAUUUAAUUCAUCAAAUUAGCCUAAAAAAAAUAAAAAUUAAAGAAAUUUUUAUGUUAUUAUUUUACUUUUAUGAUUAAUUUGGUAAAUUAAAUUUUUGUAUACAAUUAUUAGUAAGAUUAUUGUAAUGAUAUUAAAUAUUACUUUCAGUUAGUUGAUAUUAAUUUAUUUAAAAAUAGUUGUUUGUCAGAUUCUAGUUAAAGUACAAAAAAUACUAUUUCUUUCAUAAUGAUAUUUAUUGAUUAAUUUGGUAAUUAAUAAUUAGUUAACUUGCUAUUAAAUUUUUUUAGAUAAAUUAAUUAAUAUUAAGAAUAUUGUUGAUAGGGUAGCAUUAUAAAGGUAAAGAUAAGAAUAUAAUAUAUUUAAUACUAAUAGUAUUUUGAAGUACUUUUUAAAAUAUAAGAAUUAAAUGAGUAUUUAAAUCAAAAUACAAAAACUAAACAAGCAUUUACUUGAUAAAAAAUCACAAAAGUUGAAUGUUUCAAAAUUUUGACACCCAAGACUUAUCUAUUAAAAGAGGUCAUGAGAAUUAAAACUUAGAUGAAACAGUGCCGUAACGUUAUCACAAAGACGUGCUGAGAUUUUCCUAUUUUCAAAUUUAAAUUUGACACCCAUAAGAGAUAGCGAUGGUGAGAGUGUGACUGCUCACUUGGAAUUUAAAUUUAAUUACACGGUCGCAUUCUCUCUCUGAUAUUUUUCGUAUUCUCUUUCAAGAAGAAUAAAUUAGCGGGCCAUUGAAUAGUAUUUAUGCGUGCUUUAUGGGUUAUAACAUUUUUGUCGAUCCUUAGCUCGACUCAAAAGUCAUGAAUUGCAAAGCCAAUGUAACAGAAGACAAUCGGGUAAUGACUAAUUAAGUAUUUAUGAUGGAGUGACACUCGCAAGUGCUUCUAAGUAUUUAUGAUGAAACCUAAAUUUCUCUCCACGUGAAAGAGAAAAAUCAGAAAAUAGAGGAGAGAAAUUAAAGCGAGAAAAGAUUCCUCUCCACGUGACAACAAACGUUGAAAUGUUUUUGCUAUUCGUUUGAUGCUUCGAGGAUUCACAGGUGCCGAUAAGUCCAACAAAAUUCCGCGGCUUGAAUUGUAUUUGUUAGGGGCACUCGUUUCUGAUCUUUUAACUUGAAUUAGUUUUUGUCGAUCUCGCUGCAAAAAUUAUCUUCCAAGAUGAAGAAAUCAGUGGCCCAUCGGUUAUAACAUUUUUGUCAAUAGUCAACCCAACUCAGAAAUUACGUGUUGCGAAGUCAAUGAAAGAGAAGACAAAAGUCAAUGAAAGCGAAGACAGCAAGACAUAUGGUGGGACACUUAAGUAUCAUUUGGGAUUAAAGUAGAAAUUUAAUAAAUUUCUUAUUUCAUAAUUCUUUAUAAAAAUAAUAUUUAAUAAAUUUUAUAAAAAUUAUUUAUUUUAUAAUUUUUUAUUUUACUGCAGUUUUUAAAAACAAGUUGAGAUUUACUCUUCAUAAGUAGCUUAAAAUAAGCCACCACAAUUUCUCAAAGUUUCUAUUAUAAUAUUAAUAAUUUAACAAAAAAAUAAUUAUUUCUUAUUUUUUUCAUACACUGUAAUACAUAAGCUAUUAGUAUCGUAUUACCACCACAAUUUACUGUCACAACUAGUUUGAGUUCUCUCAGUAUCAAAAUUUUGAUUUAGCAAGUUCAUAUUUUUUUUAUAUUUUAAUAUUAUUUUCUAUUAUAAAAUUAAUGAGACUUAUACAUGAUUACACAAAUUUUUUUAAACAAUGAACAAGUUCAUGUGAAAUUUAAACAUAAGUCUUAAAAUCAAAUUCGUGACUAUAAUUUUUAUCGUUCAAUCUAUUUAUAUUUUUUCUAUAGUCACGGUAUUCAUUGCAACAAGUUGAUUAUCUGCUUUUAAGAGUCUUGUUACAAUUUCCUUUGCAUUGAUUCUCUGCUUUGGUGAUUCCACAGUAAUGCUCUAUAGCGAAAUUGAAGACAAAUGACAUGAACUUAGCAGUUUUGCACCAACAACUUCCAUAAUUGAAUUGGGUAGCAUAUCAUUAACCCAACGCUUUAAUGUCAUUUUUCCAUGAAAAUUUUCAUCUGUGGGUUUCUUCCCAUUGAAUGUUUCCAUUAUCAUUAUCCCAAAGCUGUAAACAUCCCCAUUUGUGGUUGCCUAUCCUUCUCUUCCAUACUCUAUGGAUUUCAACAAUUACAUGGUAAGAUAAAAUAAUUAACAAUAGCAUGCUCAAAUGAAGAUCGUAAAAAUAAAUAACAUAUCAUAAAGUAUUAAAGAAAUAAAAAAAUUAAUGUAGAACAAACUCGGUGGUGGCAAGUGUUUGUGUUUGAGUCAAUGAUUAAUCUUCUCUGAGUAAGAGUUUUGCCAUGCCAAAAUCACUCAAAUGAGCAACCGUAUUAUUGUCUAGCAAAACAUUACUCGACUUUAAAUCACAAUGAAUUAUAGGUGUUGAAUGACCAAAGUGUAGAUAUACCACAGCUGAUGCAACAUCUGUCAUUAUGUUUAAUCUUUGAAAAAUAUCCAAAAUGUAGUUGCUUGUAUACAAACACUUACCCAGAUUUCCAUGAGGCAUGUAUUCUAAUACCAAUGCCUUAAAAUCAUCAUUUGAACAACUACUAAUGAUUUUGAUAAGGUUUUGAUGGUGAAUACUUUUCAUCAUAUUGCAUUCAACAUUAAGGUUCUUAAAUGCUCCUCCAUAUUGCAAGUUAAAAACCUUUACUACAACCUCCAUCCCAUCUUGAAUUCGUGUCUUGUAAAUAGAGCCAAAACCUCCUUUGCCGAUUAGAUUGUUUUAAUUAAAUCCGUUGUAGCUAGAAAAAGUUCUAGGUACGAAAACUUUCUCCAAGUUGCUACUAGUGGCAUAUUAGUAUCAUUUGGACUUUGGUAUUCGUUUUCCUCUCUUUCCAUAUCUCUAGAUCAACACAAUGAGUACUAUCAUAAAUACAGUACUCAAUGGCAAGACAAUCCCUAGGAGAGGAUCAUUUUCCCUUGAUGUGUGGUGGAUUCUAGUCUUUUAAAUUUUUGAAAAAGCAUAAAAUACAGGUGGCUAGUGAAUAUUGCCCUUUUAUUUAUCAAGCUCAUGUGUCAUGUCUUGUCUUUUGAAUUUAAUGCCUUCUUUUAUUUGUUUUAUUACCCAAUUCGUUCAAAAUAAUCACAAUUAUGCCACUUUUUAAUUUAUAGAAUUUAGAAUAUUACCUUUAAGUUAGUAGAAUUAUCCAAAUUUUUAUUGGGAUUGGGAAUCUCGUCCUGAAUCAUAUAGAGUUCAAUUCAAUAUAAAUUUUUUUAAAAUUAAUUUAAAAUUAGUUGAGAUUUAAUAUAAAAUUUUUCCUAAUUUAUUAUUUAGAAUAUCUGAAAAUCUCAAUCAAAAUAUUGAUUGCCUUGACUAUUGUUUUAAUUUUUAAUUAACUAAAUUUAAAAAAAUCAUUUAUCUUAAAAUAAACAAAAAUGAUUGACCCAAGCACGAAUCCAACAAAUUCACUACUUUGCAUUCACUUUUAGAGUUUAUUUAUUUAUUAUUUAUUUUUUUAGCGACAUUCAGUUUUAAAGUUUAGUUAAACUAAACAGAUGAAGAAGAAAAUAAAUUAGGUUGUUGAUUUACAUAUUAAAUUUAGAUAAUGAAUGGAUAAAAUGGGGACGUUGGUCUUUAGAAUCGCAACUUGCAAUAUAAAGCAAGAAAAAUGUGAGAGUCACAAGUUUUACCAUUUCUCUCUUAUAUACAUAUCUAUUAGGAUGAGUUGAGCAGCCAUAUAACUCUUUAGUUCCAAUAAAAGAUAACAAAUUAACUUUUCAAACAAUAUAUAUAUAAUUACGAUGAUUUUUCAUUUGUUCGUUGGCUUUUGCACCUUGGUGCCGAAGCAACGAAGGACGUGGGGCAAUUGCUGGAUACGAAAAUCACCCGCAUGAUUAACUAUGAGAAGGCCCAAUGACCAAGCCCAACAGAAAAAGGACCAAAUGGAAGCCCAAUAUUCUUUCUACUCUUGACACACCAGACACAGCAAAUGGAAUCUUCCUCAAGCAAGACUUAUUAAAAUCACAUUUAUUAAUUUUAUUUCUUUUACUUUCAAAAAAAAAUUGAUAACAAAAUAGCUAGGUUGAGAAAUGUGGUCAAGAAGUGUGUGCAAAUUUUAAAAAAAAAUUAUUAUUAUUUUCAUAAAUUUAUUGAUUGUAUUUUCUAAUUAAAAAAGGAUACUUUUUUGUCUGUAUAAUAUAUAUGAGGUUAUAUGUGGAACUGCAUGAAAGAUCAAACUUUUCAAUAUUAAAUUUUACUAAAAAUAUAGUGUAGGAUUAGGUGAUUUUCACCUAAGAAAAUUUUAAAAAAAAAUCACCAAAUACCAUAAUUAGUUUUAAACUUUUCAAAAUUAUUUUUGAGCGUCCCAUUUGCUUCUUGAAAUAACUUCUUAUUUGUUGACAUGAAGGGAUAAUGUGAAAGUGCCUCUAUUGUAAAUUAAAUUAUUAUUAUUAUUAUAGUUGUUAUAGAACUUUAUUUCUUGUUAUACUCAAGAUACACUCAUAAAUCACAGCUUAUAAUGAUUUGGGUGGGGUACAAAAACAAAAACCUUUAGGACAGAUUUGUAUAUUUUCAUUUUUACAACAAAAUCCAUUUUUAGAUGGACAGUCCCUCACACAAUCAGAAUCUUGGGUGCAACGAAUUGGUAACCCUCCAGUGUAGGCUUCAGCACUUGGCAACUCAAAGAUUGUGGUGCCUGCCAAUUGACAUCAAUAAUUCAUGAUUAUAUAGAAAUGAAAUAAAAAGCGAAAUGUGUUAGCAAUUAUCAAAACAAUAUACAGAGAGAGAGAGAUAUUUGGGACAUUGACUAACCAUGUGCAACGAUCAUGAGUACGACCAAGAAAGUUAGUUUAAACGAGACUUUCUCCAUUUGCUGUAAGAAAAAGAUUAUGCAGGAUGUUUCUUUGAGUGGGAAAAAAAAAU
rnacentral:lncRNA from 1 species